rnacentral:rRNA from 1 species
GACAGAGGGUGCAAACGUUGUUCGGAAUUACUGGGCGUAAAGCGUGUGUAGGCGGUCCGCUAAGUCGGGUGUGAAAGCCCUGGGCUCAACCCAGGAAGUGCACUCGAAACUGCCGGGCUAGAGUACUGGAGAGGUUGGUGGAAUUCUCGGUGUAGAGGUGAAAUUCGUAGAUAUUCGCAAGAACACCAGUGGCGAAGGCGGCUCACUGGCCCGGUACUGACGCUGAGGUGCGAAAGCGUGGGGAGCAAACAGG